rnacentral:tRNA from 1 species
GCGGGCGUGGUGAAAUUGGCAGACACGCUAGACUUAGGAUCUAGUUCCAUUGGAGUGCAGGUUCGAUUCCUGUCGCCCGCA